rnacentral:rRNA from 1 species
UACGUAGGGUGCGAGCGUUAAUCGGAAUUACUGGGCGUAAAGCGUGCGCAGGCGGUUCGUUAAGUUCGUUGUGAAAGCCCCGGGCUCAACCUGGGAACUGCAAUGGAAACUGGCGGGCUUGAGUGUGGCAGAGGGGGGUGGAGUUCCGCGUGUAGCAGUGAAAUGCGUAGAGAUGCGGAGGAACACCGAUGGCGAAGGCAGCCCCCUGGGCCAACACUGACGCUCAGGCACGAAAGCGUGGGGAGCAAACAGG